rnacentral:lncRNA from 1 species
GCCUUUCUAUCUCUGUAGCAUCAGUUACCAUCUUCAUCCACCAAGAAGUCCUUGUGGUAUCGCCCAAAUUUGAAAUGCUAAAAUAGUAAUGGGAUCAAAUUCAUGGCAUCAGAAAUCCACACAAAAAUAAUCACAAAAUUUCUUUAAGAAAAAACACAAGAAAGAAUAGAACUGACAUGCAUCAAGAAAUUAGAACAAUAAACAUGUAGAAAUUAAACCCUUGAAUACGGAAAGGAGUUUGUACCGUGGAAUUGAAUCUACAAAUAAUCAACGGAGGAUUUUCGCCUUUUCAAUGUCGAUCCAUCUCUCCCUUACAAAAUACUCCGAGUACCAUAGAAGUUGAACGCAGUUUGGAGCAGUUCCAUAUGAUUUCAGUCGUGGUUUUAGUUUCAAUGUGCGUAUAUUAUGGUUGAGCAACUGCCCUUUUAUCUAGGUUUGCUGAGGAAAUUUAGGGAAAGCAGUUUUCUUUUUUAAGUAAACAACGUAUAUCAAU